rnacentral:snRNA from 1 species
AGACCCUGGCAGGGGAGAUACCAUGAUCACGAAGGUGGUUUUCCCAGGGUGAGGCUCAUCCAUUGCACUGUGGGUGUGCUGACCCCUGCGAUUUCCCCAAAUGCAGGAAACUCGACUGCAUAACUUGUGGUAGUGGGGGAUUGUGUUCGUGCUUUCCCCUG